AGUGAACGCUGGCGGCAGGCCUAACACAUGCAAGUCGAACGGCAGCACAGUAAGAGCUUGCUCUUACGGGUGGCGAGUGGCGGACGGGUGAGGAAUAUAUCGGAAUCUACUUUUUCGUGGGGGAUAACGUAGGGAAACUUACGCUAAUACCGCAUACGACGUACGGGUGAAAGCAGGGGAACUUCGGACCUUGCGCGAUUGAAUGAGCCGAUGUCGGGUUAGCUAGUUGGCGGGGUAAAGGCCCACCAAGGCGACGAUCCGUAGCUGGUCUGAGAGGAUGAUAAGCCACACUGGAACUGAGACACGGUCCAGACUCCUACGGGAGGCAGCAGUGGGGAAUAUUGGACAAUGGGCGCAAGCCUGAUCCAGCCAUACCGCGUGUGUGAAGAAGGCCUUCGGGUUGUAAAGCCCUUUUGUUGGGAAAGAAAAGCAGCAGGUUAAUACCCAGCUGUUCUGACGGUACCCAAAGAAUAAGCACCGGCUAACUUCGUG
rnacentral:rRNA from 1 species